rnacentral:lncRNA from 1 species
AAAAAAAAAAAAAAGUUGCGGAAGUUCCCUUGGCACACUUGGCUAAGGAAACCUGGCACCGAGGAUAUGAAACUGGGGGACUUGAGGCUCCCUGAAUAAGAGAUGGAGCUUGCAGAGGACGCACUAGGUGCCUGGCGUUGGCCUAAGCACUUUCCAGCAGAUAAUUUGCUUAUCCUCAGGGCAACCUUAUGAGGUAGGUACUAUUAUUACCCAUUUUAUAGAUGAGGAAACUGAGCCACGUGGAGGUGGGAAUGCCAAGACUGAUCCCAGGCAGCCUGGCUCUGCAUACGAAACUGCUGUAUUCUUUGCCCUGUGGUAUCUCAUACCUGGAAGGCAGGCAGGGAACAGAGGAGAAAGGUUGAGGCUGAAUCGUUACAUAAGUGCAAGGGCCCCAGGGUCCUGAGUGGCACCUGAGAAGAGAGGAGCCCAAGCUAUUAGGCCGUAAAAUACACUGCCUGGUGUCUGCCACAUAGUAGAUUCUCCAUAAGUGUUGAACUGAAAUCAAGCAUAAUUACCUGAGCUAUCAGCCCUUUCUCUCUAGUUCAUCAACAUUUCUCUCAAUUCUUUGAUUUUGUCAAACUUGGUAAACCACGGAAAAUGUGUACUUCUUAAAAAAAAAAAAAAGAAAAGAAAAAGAUUGUCCAGUUCAUGGAACACUGCAACAAGACAUGUGAGAAGAGAUCUUACUAGUGUUUAACUCAAAAUCCCGAGAGGCUUGCGCAGAGGCUGGAGCCCAGCAACCAUUGCUUGUCCUUAGAGCCCAUUUAAGGGGCACCCUCCUAUCAUCACCCAUUAGCUUUCUCCCGGUGAAGCAUGAAUAUUUUCACAGUGAAGCUCAGGUCUAACUGUGACACUCUCACUGCCCACAAAAUGCACAGGAUUCCAGUGAGCAAAUAGCCCCGCCCUGAGUCUACCCGGCAUCGGCCACAGGCAUGCAUAGCAGGAACUGGGCGGCUGAGUUCACAGGCAGUCAGAAUGGGUGCUGCUGCUAGCAAGGGGCUUUGAUCAACUCGGCCUUCCUGGGCCUCGGGGAGAGAGACGGACUGCCUCCGGGUGCUCAUGACCUUUCCAGCAGUAAGCCAAUAAUGUAUGACUCCUGCGUUGCCGUUGCUCGUUUGAGCUUUGAAUGAUGCAUUGGCCCACGUGGACCACCUUCCAUUUCCCAAGACUUUUUGAAGGCAAUGAAUGAGAAGAAAGCAGAGAAAACAGUGGGCGUGAGGUCAGAUGACUCAGGCUUGAGUACUGAUCACAUCAAGGAUUGGACGCACUGCUCUUAGGAAGGCACAACUUCUACUACUUUCAGUCUUAUCAACUGUGAGAGUGUACCCUUGCUGUAGAUGCCACCCGCCCAGCAGUCCUCAUCAUCUUGGCCCAGGAUCACCUGAAACAGAUGAUCCUCCUUUUGAGCUACCAUCAGAAGGUCCACAGUACUAGCCCAGCGCUACAUCCCAAUGCCUACGCCAUUCAUCUCACCUCAUCUCAUCACGUAGACAUUUCAUCAUGUCACAUCAUCACAAGAAGGGAAUCUAUUCACAAAUAAGGUUUUGUGGAUUCAACAGCUUUACUGAAGAUAUGUAGAUUGUUGUUAGCGCUUCCUACCUUGCACAGCCUCUUGUCCCGUCACUGGCCCCAUGCAUCUUCCUCUGCUGCCUUCAAGAAGCUCCAGAUCCUGCCACAGACGUGCUCCACUCAGAGGACUGGAGUCCAAUCCCCUGACAGUGCUUUUCUCUUUGGGAAGCACCCCCUCCCCCACUGCCAUUAAACCUCUGGAA